GACGAACGCUGGCGGCGUGCCUAAUACAUGCAAGUAGAACGCAGUUGCGAACGGGUGAGUAACGCGUAGGUAACUGCCUGGUAGCGGGGGAUAACUAUUGGAAACGAUAGCUAAUAACGCAUACUGCUAGAUGGACCUGCGUUGUAUUAGCUAGUUGGGGGGGGAACGGCUUACCAAGGCGACGAUACAUAGCCGACCUGAGAGGGGGUUCGGCCAACCUGGGACUGAGAACCGGCCCAGAAUCCUACGGGAGGCAGCAGUAGGGAAUCUUCGGCAAUGGACGGAAGUCUGACCGAGCAACGCCGCGUGAGUGAAGAAGGUUUUCGGAUCGUAAAGCUCUGUUGUAAGAGAAGCGGUAUCUUACCAGAAAGGGACGGCUAACUACGUGCCAGCAGCCGCGGUAAUAC
rnacentral:rRNA from 1 species